rnacentral:rRNA from 1 species
GGGGAAUAUUGCACAAUGGAGGAAACUCUGAUGCAGCGACGCCGCGUGAGUGAAGAAGGUCUUCGGAUCGUAAAACUCUGUCCUUGGUGAAGAAAAGGACGGUAGCCAAGGAGGAAGCCCCGGCUAACUACGUGCCAGCAGCCGCGGUAAUACGUAGGGGGCGAGCGUUGUCCGGAUUUACUGGGCGUAAAGGGUGAGUAGGCGGUUGUAUAUGUCAGGUGUAAAAGGCACAGGCUUAACUUGUGUUAGCACUUGAAACUGUACGACUUGAGUGCAGGAGAGGUAAGCGGAAUUCCUAGUGUAGCGGUGAAAUGCGUAGAUAUUAGGAGGAACACCAGUGGCGAAGGCGGCUUACUGGACUGUAACUGACGCUGAGUCACGAAAGCGUGGGUAGCAAAC